ACAUUUUCAUAGAUAUAAAACAUAGAUUUUAAUUUUCGGGCAGAAGCCUUGGCAAUUUUAAGGAUAUAUUUGAGACUAACAGCUAGAGCGCAUUCCACUAUUUCUACCAGUGUCAUUUAUAAACUCUAUACUGACAGUUUUUUAAGCCAAGCUAUAGAUACACAGGUGGUGGCGCUACUGUGCCAAAUUUCCUUUCAGCAUUAACCUUUUUUUACAUUAAAACUCAAAGGUAACUAGCUGGCCACCGAAAUAGGAUGCUGACAUAUUGACAGACUGAUAACUGACUUCAUAAAUAAAUUAAUCAUCCCAAUAGCAUAUGGAAAAUUAUCGACGCUUUAUAUUAUUAUUUGUAAACAAUUGUUUAACGUUAUAACAUAUCUUCAACUUUUACGUCAACCGCUGAUGAAUAUUUAACAUUGGAGUUUGUUUGUUAUGGUUUUGACGAGACUGGACCAAUCGGGCAUACAAGCGGCCAAGGAUCGAGAUACAUGGAGAGCUUUGGAGAAGGCCUUCACCUGUGGAAGCGAGGUUCUUGAAUAAUUUAAAUAAUUUAAAUUGAAUUUACAAUGUAUUAAUUCAAGAAAUAAAACGCUUUUUAUUUU